rnacentral:rRNA from 1 species
GAUGAACGCUGGCGGCGUGCUUAACACAUGCAAGUCGAGCGAUGAAGUUUCCUUCGGGAAACGGAUUAGCGGCGGACGGGUGAGUAACACGUGGGUAACCUGCCUCAUAGAGUGGAAUAGCUUCGGGAAACCGGAGCUAAUACCGGAUAAUAUUUUGAGCCGCAUGGUUCAAAAGUGAAAGACGGUCUUGCUGUCACUUAUAGAUGGAUCCGCGCUGCAUUAGCUAGUUGGUAAGGUAACGGCUUACCAAGGCAACGAUGCAUAGCCGACCUGAGAGGGUGAUCGGCCACACUGGAACUGAGACACGGUCCAG